AGAGUUUGAUCCUGGCUCAGGAUGAACGCUGGCGGCGUGCCUAAUACAUGCAAGUCGAGCGAACAGAUGAGAAGCUUGCUUCUCUGAUGUUAGCGGCGGACGGGUGAGUAACACGUGGGUAACCUACCUAUAAGACUGGGAUAACUCCGGGAAACCGGGGCUAAUACCGGAUAAUAUAUUGAACCGCAUGGUUCAAUGUUGAAAGACGGUUUCGGCUGUCACUUAUAGAUGGACCCGCGCCGUAUUAGCUAGUUGGUAAGGUAACGGCUUACCAAGGCAACGAUACGUAGCCGACCUGAGAGGGUGAUCGGCCACACUGGAACUGAGACACGGUCCAGACUCCUACGGGAGGCAGCAGUAGGGAAUCUUCCGCAAUGGGCGAAAGCCUGACGGAGCAACGUCGCGUGAGUGAUGAAGGUCUUAGGAUCGUAAAACUCUGUUGUUAGGGAAGAACAAAUUUGUUAGUAACUGAACAAGUCUUGACGGUACCUAACCAGAAAGCCACGGCUAACUACGUG
rnacentral:rRNA from 1 species